rnacentral:tRNA from 1 species
UGUUUAUGUGGAUUAAUAUAAAGAUUGUGAGGCUGUUAACCUUGAGGUGGGCUGGUGCUCCGUAGACGA